rnacentral:rRNA from 1 species
GGGGGACGGAGAAGGCUAUGUUGGCCGGGCGACGGUUGUCCCGGUUUAAGCGUGUAGGUGUGUGUUCCAGGUAAAUCCGGUUCACUUUAACACUGAGGCGUGAUGACGAGGCACUACGGUGCUGAAGUAACAAAUGCCCUGCUUCCAGGAAAAGCCUCUAAGCAUCAGGUAACAUCAAAUCGUACCCCAAACCGACACAGGUGGUCAGGUAGAGAAUACCAAGGCGCUUGAGAGAACUCGGGUGAAGGAACUAGGCAAAAUGGUGCCGUAACUUCGGGAGAAGGCACGCUGACACGUAGGUGAAGUGAUUUACUCACGGAGCUGAAGUCAGUCGAAGAUACCAGCUGGCUGCAACUGUUUAUUAAAAACACAGCACUGUGCAAACACGAAAGUGGACGUAUACGGUGUGACGCCUGCCCGGUGCCGGAAGGUUAAUUGAUGGGGUCAGCGCAAGCGAAGCUCCUGAUCGAAGCCCCGGUAAACGGCGGCCGUAACUAUAACGGUCCUAAGGUAGCGAAAUUCCUUGUCGGGUAAGUUCCGACCUGCACGAAUGGCGUAAUGAUGGCCAGGCUGUCUCCACCCGAGACUCAGUGAAAUUGAACUCGCUGUGAAGAUGCAGUGUACCCGCGGCAAGACGGAAAGACCCCGUGAACCUUUACUAUAGCUUGACACUGAACAUUGAGCCUUGAUGUGUAGGAUAGGUGGGAGGCUUUGAAGUGUGGACGCCAGUCUGCAUGGAGCCGACCUUGAAAUACCACCCUUUAAUGUUUGAUGUUCUAACGUGGACCCGUUACCCGGGUUGCGGACAGUGUCUGGUGGGUAGUUUGACUGGGGCGGUCUCCUCCUAAAGAGUAACGGAGGAGCACGAAGGUUGGCUAAUCCUGGUCGGACAUCAGGAGGUUAGUGCAAUGGCAUAAGCCAGCUUGACUGCGAGCGUGACGGCGCGAGCAGGUGCGAAAGCAGGUCAUAGUGAUCCGGUGGUUCUGAAUGGAAGGGCCAUCGCUCAACGGAUAAAAGGUACUCCGGGGAUAACAGGCUGAUACCGCCCAAGAGUUCAUAUCGACGGCGGUGUUUGGCACCUCGAUGUCGGCUCAUCACAUCCUGGGGCUGAAGUAGGUCCCAAGGGUAUGGCUGUUCGCCAUUUAAAGUGGUACGCGAGCUGGGUUUAGAACGUCGUGAGACAGUUCGGUCCCUAUCUGCCGUGGGCGCUGGAGAACUGAGGGGGGCUGCUCCUAGUACGAGAGGACCGGAGUGGACGCAUCACUGGUGUUCGGGUUGUCAUGCCAAUGGCACUGCCCGGUAGCUAAAUGCGGAAGAGAUAAGUGCUGAAAGCAUCUAAGCACGAAACUUGCCCCGAGAUGAGUUCUCCCUGAGACUUUAGGUCUCCUGAAGGAACGUUGAAGACGACGACGUUGAUAGGCCGGGUGUGUAAGCGCAGCGAUGCGUUGAGCUAACCGGUACUAAUGAACCGUGAGGCUUAACCUUACAACGCCG